CCUACUAAUGUGUUCGGAUGAUAUUCUUUAUCGCUGUUAAGUGUAGCGUAACAUCCGAGUGGUCGAUUUGACCUCUAACGAGACCAGCCUCGAGACCGUGCGAGAUCUGCACCAGUUCCUGUAAGAUUUAGACAGGAAGUAGAUGUGUGUUUUGGGAUUUAUGCAUUUAAUGUGUUUUUGACAAAGAAGGUUUAAAACCUUUGUGGAUGUGGAUAUUGAAACUCCUUAAAACUCUUGAAGGAUGAGGAAAAGGAACCAUUGAAAUGGAACAUGUUGGACAGGGUUAUCACGAUCAUGCAUUUAUAAAAGAUGACAGCAUAUCAGCACUGCCUUAAGAUUGGAGUUGAGACCUUGUAUUUUUUACACGGAAAAUAAAGAACAGUUGCUGAAUGAAACAGAUGCUCGCAGAAGCAAAUGUAAUGAGCCCAGAAUAAUGGUGAUCAAUUUUGAAUGAUUUCAUUCUCUGGUUGAAAUGAUACUGAUCCAAUUUGGUUGACAAUGAAUACUAAGUAUUUUGUUGUAUAUAAGUAUAAUGGUUUGUUUUAAAACUGUAUAAAGCUUGAUAUAUAAUGUAACGAUAUUAUGUAGGAAUCAAUAUUUUUUGAAGGAUAAAAGAUGUAAUUUUUUUUCAAUCAGAAUUUCCUAAAAAGACUUUCUAAUGUAAAUACAUGUAUGAAUAAUAGAAGUUUAUAAUCCUUUAUUUUACUGCCAUUGAAAUACUGUAGUAAU